AGUGAAAAGUCAACCUGGCUCAAGAGAGGAUAUGAUUGGCACAUGGCCUCCAAUGUGGCCAAAUGUAGCCUGAUAAUCUAGAAGAGUUUGUCUGGGGUGCAGGUGCCUUGCAGUAACAGUCACAGAACAGAGAGAACAUGUCCUAGGUAGUGGCCAGUGCCAGAAUGAUGUAGGCACAAGGAGUAGAUCUGAACCCAACUGGCCUCCCAUCUGGGUGAACAGCAACCAACCCACAGGCCCAUGGACAAGAAAAAUCAAUGUUUUCUACUAUUUAUAACAUCACAGCUUUGCAGCCAAAAGAUGCAAGCUGCAAUGCAACAUGGGAAGAUGGCUGACAGUUCAAAUACAGUCACUGUAAUUCUACAGAGACCUUAUUAUUUAGUUCUCUAAUGAGGAUACCACGAAACAACCACCACUGCCACCACCACUAACACACACGCACAUGCAAAACCCAGAAAAUUCCAUUUGGAAAGAUUGCUGUGUUGUUCAUUUCUAAAACGAGGUCAGGUAUAAAAGGUUUGAGGUGGGAUUGCUUUUUUAAUUGAGAAUGGUUCCAUUAAAUUGUAGAAUUCUCCCAUGUGCCUUUGUCAGGGGGAGACUAAUGGCAUCAGGAGUUUGCCCCUAAACCCAGGAUACAACAGUCCACGAGUUAGUUAACUGAACAUUGGAACUUAUACGGACUCCAAAUGUAGUUUUUAAACACCUAGGAGAUCUCUAGUUACUAUAAGUGGUAUCACAACAGUUCCAAAUGUAUUUAAAUCCAUUUUAAUGUUUCUAGAAGGUGACAUAGCAAGGUGGUGUGCCUGUGUAUUUGGGAAGGAAAAGAAAGGGAAAGUCACUCAUAAACACAAGCUGUGUCUUGGAAUGUGGGCAGGUCUGAGGAAGGUCCAGAUUUUCUGAACUGGCACCCAAAGUGCAUGGCCCCCACCAGGGUGGUGUGGGACACCUGAGCUACCAACAUAUUUUCCCCUAUCCCUCAAAGCAGCUACAGCCCCAACCAUGAGACCAUCCUCAUCAGCUUACCUAGAUGGGAAGAUAGUAGGAUAGUAAAAUUUCCCUAAUUGGUGUUCAUCAGAUGAUCUGUUGUGAUGGUUAAUUUCAUGUGUGAACUUGACUGGCUACAGAGUGUCCAGACUAGACAUUAUUUUGGGGUGUGUCUGCAAGGGUGUUUCCAGAUGAGAUGAGCAUUUGAAUUAGCCAACUCAAUAAAAUCCGAUGUGAGUGGGCAUCAUCCUAUCUGUUAAGGGCCUGAACAGAACAAAAGGCAAGGAAGAAGGUACUCACUCCUCCUUUUGUGCUUGGACUGGGACCUACACCUCUUGCUCCCCAGUUCUCAGGCUUUGGGACUUAUACUAGAAUUACAUCACUGGCUUUCCUGAGUCUCCAGCUUAGGAUACAUUUCCUAUUGUGUCUGUUUUUCUGGAGAACGCUGCCUAAUACAAAUGCUAAUGAGUAUAACAUGUUCCAAGAUCAAAUUUGGUGAGUAAAUUUUGAGUUAAACAAAGCCCAAAAGCUCUACAGGGCUUAUCAUUUUAGGGCUUCUCAGAGCCUUCAAUACACUGUACACUGUAAGCCCCUGAAGGGAGAUAAUCUUACACAGCUUUUUCCAAUACAACCAUAGGUUUCUUUGUCUCUUUUUUGCUUCUGAAGACCAGAGUUCUCACUGAAACACCUGAGGGAAUGAGAAAAUAAAGAAAAAUCCCUGGAACUACAAGAUCUGGAAUACAGCCCCUAACACUAUUUCCCACCAUGUAUGUUCUUGAGCAAGUGACUUGGUGCUUGAAUCAACCCCUGUGUAAAAUGGCCCUCUGAGGAGGGUGAGUGGUGAACAAAAGUAGCUCCUCUGGAAAAGGGCUUCCUGAUAUCACAGUUGCCAUUCUUGGCUUUGGGGUCAGACCUACCUGAAUCAAAACCCAGUCAUGCUACAUUUCCAGGAAUGUGACUUUGGCAUUUACUUCAGCAUCUUGGGCCACAGUUUUCUCACCUGUAAACUGACUUAAAUGAAAAGAUUCUCUUGAGUGUCAAAAAAUAUUAGUUGCUAUCACACCUUCACCAGAGGGGCUGGAAUAGGAAUAGUAACCAAAAACUACUACUCAUUGGACAUGAGGUGAAUACUCAUCCCUCUGUACUGCCAGGACUCCAUGAUCCCUUCCCAAAAGUGACCCAGUUCCCUCCAGAGAGUCUCCUCUUCUACACUGUGUGUGGUCUUAGCAGGGUGGUUAUAUUGCAUAGACUCCUAUCCAUCACACAAGUUCAAAUAUAGAGCUCCUUCUUCCCUAUGCCCAUAUACUCUACUACAGAGGGAGCCACGUGACUUAAGCUUAGCCAGUGGCAUUUUCUCUGACAGGACUCAAGAUCUUAGGCAUCAUUAGGGUGGAAGUUCAGGUUAGAAGUCAGCCACGGUAGUGGCAACAGGAACAUUCUUAUGACCACAGAGGUGCCUGGCUUCCUACCUACUCCCAACCCUGAGUCUCUAGCAUUCAGUCAAUUUACUGAGCGCCCGCAAUCCAUCCAAUCAAUUAACUGAAUAAGUAUGAAACCUGUAUUCUUUUCCAUUGAUGUUCAUGUCAGCAGAGAUAUUGGUCUAGAACAAUUUAGGUUCAGUCCUUAACAGAAUCCCAGGAGGAAGGCAGGAAGGACAAGACUUAGUAAGUGAAUAAUAAACAAAUGUUUGCCUCAAAUGUGGUUUUUGUUGGGCCACUUUUAAAAACAGAAAUAUUCAGAAUGUAUUCUU
rnacentral:lncRNA from 1 species